rnacentral:rRNA from 1 species
GAUGAAUGCUGGCGGCGUGCCUUACACAUGCAAGUCGAACGGCAGCGGGGGAGAAGCUUGCUUUUCCUGCCGGCGAGUGGCGAACGGGUGAGUAAUACAUCGGAACGUGCCCUGUAGCGGGGGAUAACUAGUCGAAAGAUUAGCUAAUACCGCAUACGACCUGAGGGUGAAAGUGGGGGACCGCAAGGCCUCAUGCUAUAGGAGCGGCCGAUGUCUGAUUAGCUGGUUGGUGGGGGAAAGGCCUACCAAGGCGACGAUCAGUAGCUGGUCUGAGAGGACGAUCAGCCAAACUGGGACUGAGCCACGGCCCAGACUCCUACGGGAGGCAGCAGUGGGGAAUUUUGGACAAUGGGCGAAAGCCUGAUCCAGCAAUGCCGCGUGUGUGAAGAAGGCCUUCGGGUUGUAAAGCACUUUUGUCCGGAAAGAAAUGGCUCUGGUUAAUACCUGGGGUCGAUGACGGUACCGGAAGAAUAAGGACCGGCUAACUACGUGCCAGCAGCCGCCGUAA